rnacentral:rRNA from 2 species
GAUGAACGCUGGCGGCGUGCCUAACACAUGCAAGUCGAGCGGAGAUUUCUGAAGUAGUAAUACGGAAGGGAUCUUAGCGGCGGACGGGUGAGUAACACGUGAGUAAUCUGCCUUCUGCAGGGGAAUAACAUUGUGAAAACAGUGCUAAUACCGCAUAACGUCCGACUGGGACAUCCCGGACGGACCAAAGGAGAAAUCCGGCAGAAGAUGAGCUCGCGUCCGAUUAGCUAGUUGGCGGGGUAACGGCCCACCAAGGCUUCGAUCGGUAGCCGAACUGAGAGGUUGAUCGGCCACAUUGGGACUGAGACACGGCCCAGACUCCUACGGGAGGCAGCAGUGGGGAAUAUUGGGCAAUGGGCGAAAGCCUGACCCAGCAACGCCGCGUGAAGGAUGAAGGCUUUCGGGUUGUAAACUUCUUUGAUCAGGGACGAAAAAAAUGACGGUACCUGAAGAACAAGCCACGGCUAACUACGUG